AUUGAACGCUGGCGGCAGGCCUAACACAUGCAAGUCGAACGAGUGGCGGACGGGUGAGUAAUGUCUGGGAAACUGCCUGAUGGAGGGGGAUAAAUACUGGAAACGGUAGCUAAUACCGCAUACCAUCGGAUGUGCCCCGAUGGGAUUAGGUAGUUGGUGGGGUAAAGGCUCACCUAGGCGACGAUCCCUACCUGGUCUGAGAGGAUGACCAGCGACACUGGAACUGAGACACGGUCCAGGAUCCUACGGGAGGCAGCAGUGGGGAAUAGUGCACAAUGGGCGCAAGCCUGAUGCAGCCAUGCAGCGUGUAUGAAGAAGGCCUUCGGGGGGUAAAGUACUUGCAGCGGGGAGGCGUUACCCGCAGAAGAAGCACCGGCUAACUCCGUGCCAGCAGCCGCGGUAAUUC
rnacentral:rRNA from 1 species